AGAGCGAACGCUGGCGGCAGGCUUAACACAUGCAAGUCGAGCGGGCGUAGCAAUACGUCAGCGGCAGACGGGUGAGUAACGCGUGGGAACGUACCUUUUGGUUCGGAACAACCCAGGGAAACUUGGGCUAAUACCGGAUAAGCCCUUACGGGGAAAGAUUUAUCGCCGAAAGAUCGGCCCGCGUCUGAUUAGCUAGUUGGUGAGGUAAUGGCUCACCAAGGCGACGAUCAGUAGCUGGUCUGAGAGGAUGAUCAGCCACAUUGGGACUGAGACACGGCCCAAACUCCUACGGGAGGCAGCAGUGGGGAAUAUUGGACAAUGGGCGCAAGCCUGAUCCAGCCAUGCCGCGUGAGUGAUGAAGGCCCUAGGGUUGUAAAGCUCUUUUGUGGCGGGAAGAUAAUGACGGUACCGCAAGAAUAACGCCCCGGCUAACUUCGUGCCAGCAGCCGC
rnacentral:rRNA from 1 species